rnacentral:tRNA from 1 species
ACCUCAGUGGUAAAGGACUUGUUUCACAUACAGGAGGUCCUGGGUUUAAUCCCCAG